UCUUUCCUGCUGCUCAGUUGGUAGAGCAUUGCACUACCAACGCAAAGGUUGUCGGUUUAAAUCCCAGGGAAAGCA
rnacentral:tRNA from 1 species